rnacentral:lncRNA from 1 species
UGUGUAUAUAUAUUAUUCUCAAAAUUCUAAAAAAUAUAUGUACAAAUAUAUAGAGAGCGAGGGAGAAUCUAUUAUAUAUGAUAUCUCCACUCCGCAUACAUAAUCAGAAGAGCUAGUUUCACUUGGGAGAUAAAUUUUGUCUUCCAUUAUUUAAGCUCCGUCUAUAAAUUUUACAUGUGCAUCUCUACUUUUUUAAGAUAAAGGAUAGAUUCUAUUAGGCAUUAUCUAUCAACGGAUAGAAUCAAGCUAACUAUUACAAGUCACGCCCGAGGGCACGAGACUACAAAAACUGUUUAAAGCCGAGCAAUUGGAAAAACAAAACGAGAAAAAAAAUUUGACUAAAGAAGACCAAUACACCUAGUUGACAACCAGCCAUUGGAACUAAAGAACUGCAAAGCCGAUAUCUCUAGCUGACUUUCAACUAGGACCAGCAGGUCCCUUAUAUCGUCACCCGUUGUAAUGUGUUUUUUUAGAAGACCUUUUACAAUGGUUAGAAUCGCUUUCAAUCGCCUCCCAUUGCCUUCGCUAAAAAACUUUUUUUCUUGAUUUAAUUCGUGGAAGGGUAAUAACGUCAUUGUACAAGGUUCUCUCAAACCUCCCCUAUCAUCAGCGGCAACGGAUCCCUGUAACACGCACUGGUGGAUGCUGGCGGGUGGAACCCUAAGAAGAUUUUAAAAAAAAAACUUUAGAAAAAGGUAUUUAUCUAACUAACUAUAGUACUUAAAUCAUACACCCUAACUAUGCUACUCAAAAUAUUAUUUUUACAAUUAUGAAUUUACCUUUUUAUCCUUCAUUAAAAAAAGAAAUACAAAAAAGGAAUUAUCGCUCCUCUAUUUAGGGUCCUAAUCCCCAUAAUUUUGGAGGCGAUGAGAGGCGAUGUGACGUUUACAGCCCACCGACUAUAGACACACAUAUCGUCUCCCAUCGCCUUGCUCCCAUCGCCUCUCAUCAGAUUUUAUGUUCUAGGUCCACCGAUCAUAGACAUCGCUUCUCAUUAUCUCACCAACCAUUGUAAAAAUAUUAUUUUUAGAAAUGUGAAGAACUUCCUUUUGUUUCCUGAAAAAGCAGGACAACAAGAAAUCAUUGCUGCAUUAGUUAAACAAUCAUGAGCACACACAAACAAAUUUUAACAGUCAAGAUAAAAAAACAUUGGAUAUGUAGUUGGAGACCC